rnacentral:rRNA from 1 species
UACAGAGGGGGGCAAGCGUUGUUCGGAAUUACUGGGCGUAAAGGGCGCGUAGGCGGCUUGUCAAGUCACUUGUGAAAUCUCCGGGCUUAACCCGGAGCGGUCAAGUGAUACUGUCGUGCUAGAGUGCGGAAGGGGCUACUGGAAUUCUCGGUGUAGCGGUGAAAUGCGUAGAUAUCGAGAGGAACACCGGUGGCGAAGGCGGCAUCCUGGACCGGUAUUGACGCUGAGGCGCGAAAGCUAGGGGAGCAAACGGG